rnacentral:rRNA from 1 species
UACGUAGGGAGCAAGCAUUGUCCGGAAUCAUUGGGCGUAAAGCGCGCGUAGGUGGCCUCAUAAGUCCGCUGUGAAAGUCAAAGGCUCAACCUUUGAAAGCCGGUGGAUACUGUGAGGCUAGAGUACGGAAGAGGCGAGUGGAAUUCCUGGUGUAGCGGUGGAAUGCGCAGAUAUCAGGAGGAACACCAAUAGCGAAGGCAGCUCGCUGGGACGUUACUGACACUGAGGCGCGAAAGCGUGGGGAGCGAACAGG